rnacentral:rRNA from 1 species
AUUGAACGCUGGCGGCAGGCCUAACACAUGCAAGUCGAGCGGAUGAAGGGAGCUUGCUCCUGGAUUCAGCGGCGGACGGGCGAGUAAUGCCUAGGAAUCUGCCUGGCAGUGGGGGAUAACGUCCGGAAACGGGCGCUAAUACCGCAUACGUCCUGAGGGAGAAAGUGGGGGAUCUUCGGACCUCACGCUAUCAGAUGAGCCUAGGUCGGAUUAGCUAGUUGGUGGGGUAAAGGCCUACCAAGGCGACGAUCCGUAACUGGUCUGAGAGGAUGAUCAGUCACACUGGAACUGAGACACGGUCCAGACUCCUACGGGAGGCAGCAGUGGGGAAUAUUGGACAAUGGGCGAAAGCCUGAUCCAGCCAUGCCGCGUGUGUGAAGAAGGUCUUCGGAUUGUAAAGCACUUUAAGUUGGGAGGAAGGGCAGUAAGUUAAUACCUUGCUGUUUUGACGGUACCAACAGAAUAAGCACCGGCUAACUUCGUG